UUCUAAACCGUCCGUAAGGACAAUCUACUUGA
rnacentral:rRNA from 1 species